CCAGGGCUGAAGAGCUGCUUCUCACUAGAUGCCUCUCUUGGUCUGGCUGCUGUGUCCAGUCCUAUCCAGGGUUAGCUCUGUUCCUCCUCCUUGUGGCAUCUGUGUUUCUCUUUCUGCUCUGCCUCUCCCCAUCUCCUAGUCCAAACAUCCAAAGAAAUAAAUUACCUCCAGGAGAUCGAGACCAUCCAGGCUAACACGGUGAAACCCUGUCUCUGAAAAUAAAAACCAUGGAACCUAUCUAUAGGUUAAAACAGCAUACUGAUAAAAAACACAUAUACUUUGAUGCAGAGAUGUACGAUAAUCAUGAAUUAGAAUUAGCAUCCUGAUUAAGACUGUUCGAUAUCAGAGUUCUUUGACAGUUCACAUUUUUUAGGUUCCACUUUGCUUUCAGAUCCACUCUGGGCUACUGAACUAGUUUCACUAUUGUUACUUUUCAAAGGUGCAUUAAAACUAAAUCCAAACAAAGACCCAGUGGCAGAACUGUUGCCAAAUACAAAUGGUUUUGAUUUUUCACUACUAAAAAUUCUUUUAACAGACUCUGAAACAAAUACAAACUUUGGAGGAGAAACCACUGCUUUUGUUGUUGUUUCAGAUGUGCUAGACACUUCAACUUCUGAAGCUGCAUCUGCUACAUCAUCACCCUGAAUAACAUCUGUCCUCUCUCUUGUGGUUUCUUCUAAUAUAGCUACAGCAAUUUUGCCACAUGGUGACUCUCUGGGAGUGCUUGACCGAGAAACAUGAGGUGUUAUCAAAGAAUCUUUUUCCUGGGCUGUUUUUGCUUCAUCAAAAAUUUUCUUAAACGAGUCUGCAACAUCCUGUAGUUUAAAAC
rnacentral:lncRNA from 10 species